rnacentral:tRNA from 1 species
GACCUAAAUUAGACUAUUCUCUG